GACGAACGCUGGCGGCGUGCCUAACACAUGCAAGUCGAACGCUAAAGGCUUGUACGUGUACUAACUGGAUGGGCAACGAACGGGUGAGUAACGCGUGGGGAGGCUUCCAUUUAGCGGUGGGCAACAUUUGGAGGCGACUGCUACUACUACAUAAAAACUUUAAAGACAAGUUUUAAGUGUUAUUGAUGCAAUGGCAUCACUCAAGGACGAUCCUGCGUUUUGUUAGCUAGUUGGUGAGGUAAACGCUCACCAAGGGGAUGAUACAUAGCCGACCUGGGAGGGAGGUCGGCCACAUGGGGACUGAGACACCGCCCAAGCUCCUAAGGGAGGCAGCAGUAGGGAAUGUUCGGCAAUGGAGGGAAGGCUGACCGAGCAACGCCGCGUGAGUGAAGGAGGUUUUCCGAUCGUAAAACUCUGUUGGUAGAGAAGAACGUUGGUCAGAGUGGAAAGCUCAUCUAGUGACGGUAACUACACAGAAAGCACCGGCUAACUACGUG
rnacentral:rRNA from 1 species